CUGUGAUUGGCUGAGGUGACGACAGGUGAAGAUGGCGGCAGGUGUCCUGUCGGUGCUGCUGCUGAGCGGCCCGGUUCUGCUCGGACUCUCUGCCGGUACCGGACCGUCCUCUCCCGGGUCACAUCCGGACUCUGAGCGCGGCAUGUUAGAGCUGCAGCGCGUGCGGAGUCUCGCAGCGCAGCCGCGGUACGGAGAGUGUUGGGCGCGCGCUCUGGAGCACUUGGUCGUGCGCUGCAGGGAUAUGACGUCAGAGAGCCAGAGCCGUAUCGCGCUGCGAUUUGCCCACUGUCACCUGAGCAGCUCAGGUAGAGAUUUCCCAUCAUGCCCUGAGGGCUCUGAGGUGAGCAGGUGUACAGGUGAGAUGGAUGCUGUGGCCUUCAACACCUACACAGAGUUCUUCACCCACACUCACUCCAUCUGCCACUUCCUGCAGUCUGAGGCCUGGCAGCGCCGCGCUGAGAGCACCAUGUACAGGCUGACAGAUACCUCGGCAGGUGUUGUGGAGCAGCUCCAGUCCACCAGGGAGAUGGCUGAGGACCUGAUUGAAGCCCAGAGUGCUGCCUUACAAGUGCAGCAGGAGAUCCUGACCAAUGGAGAGGAACUGAGAACCACCCUGAGAGACUCGACCCAGGGGGUGCGUUCCCUCCUCUCAGAGCUCAGCAGUGUCUCUCAGCAGCAGCAGGUGGCGCUGUCUGAACUCUUCAAUAGAGUUUCCUUCCUGCAGAGUUUCCUGCUGAUGGAGGCUAACAGUCUGAGUUCCUGCUGCUGCAACGCUGCAGCUCUAUGCUGCGCCUUCCUGCUCACCUGCACGCAGCGCACCUGUAGAGCCAGGUAACUCCUCCUCACACACCUGUAGAGCCAGGUAACUCCUCCUCACACACCUGUAGAGCCAGGUAACUCCUCCUCACACACCUGUAGAGCCAGGUAGCUCCUCCUCACACACCUGUAGAGCCAGGUAGCUCCUCCUCACACACCUGUAGAGCCAGGUAGCUCCUCCUCACACACCUGUAGAGCCAGGUAACUCCUCCUCACACACCUGUAGAGCCAGGUAGCUCCUCCCCACACACCUGUAGAGCCAGGUAACUCCUCCUCACACACCUGUAGAGCCAGGUAGCUCCUCCUCACACACCUGUAGAGCCAGGUAGCUCCUCCUCACACACCUGUUG